UUGUUUGCCGCUUUGUUCGGAUAUAGUGAUGGAAUUAGAGGUAUUGGUACAUUGGCAAAUCUUCAGACUUGCACUGGUAUCUAUGCUGGUGCUGGCAUUCCUAGUGAAUUGAGUAGACGAAAAGAUGUUAGUGAAGUGUCUGAUGAUCAUGCUGGUGAGCUAUUUGCAUCCAUCAUCAAACUGGAAAACCUUGUUUCCCUGUCACUAGUUGCAGAAGAAAACUUCGGUCACACUUCUACCUGAAUUGGAACAAUUUUUUCCUCCACCUCAUCUUCAAGAGCUUAUUUUACGUGGUGGUCUAGUUGAAAUGCCCAAUUGGCUUCCUUCUGUUGAAAACCUAAC
rnacentral:misc_RNA from 1 species